GAACUCCCGGCGGUUCCCCCGGGCUGGGUGUGGCAGGCCUGCCUAGCUGAGGAGCCGCGCCCGUCGGCUAGGGGCACGUGGGGGAGCCCCGGGCCGGGUCCAGGCCCCCGCGGCCGGCGUGUCUUGGUGCUUAGCAACCGUGGGGGAUUUUUCUCGGGCCCCGUGAGGUCGGUGUAGGGGACAGCGGGUCCCCUGUCUGUCGGUGACCAGCCGUGCCGGGGACCUUUUUGGGCUUCCCCUCCGCCGCAGUCUCCCUCGUUAAAGGCUGAAGGACCCUCCCCUUGCCCCUCCUGCGACUGAACUCCAGAGUUGGGUGCUGCCUCGGGGGACCGUCUCGAAGUCGGGAGCCUCACGGGCACCCUGCAGCCAGUGGUGGAGUAGGAGGUGGUGGCAGUGUUAUCUUAUUAGGGUCCGUGCCCUGGAGCAGUGGAGCCAAUGAAAUAUACUCCCAUGUCAGAAAAGAGUGAGAAAGUUUGUUAAGGAGAUGUAUGCAUCACCGGGGACCCAGCAGCAGCACAGGCUGUCUCUAUGGAGUCCCAGAGAGCAGCUUCACAUUAGAGCUUGUAUAGAGUCUUGAGAGGGUUAGAAAUGUCUUUGUAGUCCGCAGAUGGCCUGGCCGGAGGAGUUAUUCAUGACAAGAUAGUGACAAAAGACUAGCAGACUAAACCCAGUCCAGACCCAGUGACGUCGAGUCGAUUCCGACACAGACUAAAGAGCUACAAAUCAGACACCUGGGCCGUGGUGGGGAGAAGGGGUUGUAAGUCACAGGUGGUCUGAUGGAACAAAAAAACUUAUUUGCAUCAAAUUAGAACAAAGAACGAGGUCAUUAACAUUAGGUCAAAACAGCCUAUUAACAGAGAUAUGUGCAGGAGGAGGCAGGCAGAGGAAGGAGAAAAACUUACAGGUUCAUCAUGGCGCUAGUUAUGUCCAGCUCUCAGUCAUACAUUUUGAAAAGAAGAAAACAUGCUGAGGAUUACCUUGGGGCCACAGCAAGGCUUGUAUACAAAAGCCCCACAAUUAAGCACAUGAAGCAAAAUCAUGAUUUUUUCAUUAUCAGGUUGAUGGUCUUAAAUCUCCCCAUAACCAGCUGCUGAUUGUUUUUUACCCCUGAAAGUCCAAGUUGUCUUUUUCCAUUAAGUCGGUUUUCAUUCCACUUUUCCUGUUUAAGUGAAUAGAGGUGCUGCGAGGUGACAGUGAAAAGUCACCAAACCGGCUGGAGAGUGAUGUUGAGGUACUCCUAUUGAAUCCCGAGUUUGUGUCUCACGUGGAUAACUCAUAAUUUUCACUCUUGCUUCAGAUAGCUGUGACCUUCCUUUUGCCAUUAUUUGCUUACUAGAUGUGAGAGAACUCAAGUGCUUGAGUGCCUUGUUAUGGCCUAAAAAAAUAUAUAUGUAUAUAUAUAUAUAAUUUAUGUGCAUAUUUAAUUUUAAGGAAGUUUUAUAUAUGUAAAUAGUAAUUAUUUUAGCACUUUGAUUUCACAGGUGAACGUGCUCAGAAUCACAGUUGCCUAACCUGGGACUGGGCUCCAGGGCUUCAGAUUCUCAGUCUGGGGCUUAUUCAAGCAUAUAUUUGCUUUACAGUUUAUGACUAGUUCCACAUAAAUUCCUUUUUCUUUUUUUUAUUAUGCUUUUAGUGAAAGUUUACAGUUGAAGUUAGUUUCUCAUACAAAAAUUUAUACACACAUUGUUAUGUGACCCUAAUUGCUCUCCCUAUAAUGUGACAGCAUACUCCUUUCCGCCCCUCAUUUCCUGUGUCUAUUCAACCAACUCCUGUCCAUUUCUGCCUUCUCAUCCCACCUCUGGACAAGAGCUGCCUGUUUAGUCUCAUGUAUCUACUUAAGCUAAGAAGCAUACUCCUCAUGAGUAUUGUUUUAUGUCUCGUAAUCUUUAUCUGAAGAGUUGGCUUUGGGAAUGGCUUUAGUUUUGGGCUAACAGAGAGUCCUAGGGCCGUGACCUCUGGGGUCCCUCCAGUCUCAGUCAGACCAUUGAGUCUGGUCUUUUUACUAGAAUUUGAGUUCUGCCUCCUACUUUUCUCCUGCUUGGUUAGGGACUCUGUUGUGUUCCCUAUUAGGGCGGUCAUUGGUAGCCAGGCACCAUCUAGUUCUUGCACACAAAUUCUUUUUUAACACCCACAUUAAUGCUGCAUGAUGAGCAGGGCAGUGUCACUAUUACAGAGGAUAAAGAUAAGGCCCAGAACAUUUAAGUGCCUCACUCAAAACACAGUGGCUAUGCUAGGACUAGACCCAGGUCUUUUGCCUCCUGAAGGCUGCUUCCAUCUACCUUUUAAAAUUGUAUCCUCAUUUCAUUUCAGGAACGUCAGAUUGCACACCCUGUCAUGAAGUGCACCUUCUGCAGGAAUGAGUAUCAGCAGGAGAAGUACAGUUGUUGACCAUGAAAGAUGUUAAUAGGCUUUUUCUACCUAAAAUCUCUAAUCAGUUGCAUUUUAAUAUUGUUACGUGCCUCGCUCUCAGCCUGCUGUCAUAAUUCCCGUGUCUCACCUUGUUCCUGUCACACAGGGCUUUUUUCAGUCCUUCAGACAUGACAGUCUUGUUCCUGCAUUUGCACUGGCUUCCCAUUGCUUGAUAAUACCUUUUUCCAGAAUUUCACGACCGGCUCCUUACGUCAGGUCUCAGCUCAGAUGCCACCUGCUCACACAGACCUUCUUUGACUAACCACCUCAGUGACACUAUCACAUCACCCUGCUUCAUUUCCUUCACAGCAUGUAACACUAUGAGAAAUUAUUUUGUUUGUUUACAUGUUCGUCCGCCUCACUAAAAUGUGAGCUGUUUGUCCGUCUUGCUCUCUGCUAUCUUUCCAGUGGUCUGGCACAUAGUAGGUGCUCAGUAAAUAUUUGUUGAAUAAAAUAAUGCAGUUCUGAAACUCUUUUGUCAGUGGCCAGAGAUGCUUAGGCUCUUGAGAACUGACUCUUGCCAAAUUCAUUAAUUUACAAUGAGAGGAUAUAAAUUUCAGUGACCAGAAUACCCCUGCCUGCCAACCAGGACACCUCUUCCCUGAGUCAAGAUACUGGAGAAGCUGAAUUAGUAAUCAAGAGAUAGCAGACAAUAGUAGCUGGAGCACACACAGACUUUGCAAUCCCACACACCUGAAUCCCUUCCCAUUCCUGGGGCAAGCUCAGUGAUCCUGGGCAAGUUACUUCAUCUUGUUUUGUAUGGCUUUCCUCUUUCCAAUGGGAAUAAUAGUAUCUGUUUCACAGGGACAUGGGGGAGAUUUAAUUGAGGUAAGUAUAUAAAACACUUAAUUUUGAGCCUGGCUCAUAUGCACAUAAAGGAUAUCAAUACACAAAUCAAAUGUAUACCUGUAUUACUGUUAAUUGGAAUGUUGUUGUCGUUAGGUGCUGUCAAGUCAGUGCUGACUCAUAGGGACCCUGUGCACAACAGAACGAAACACUGCCUGGUCCUGUGCCACCCUCACAAUUGUUGCUAUGCUUGAGCCCAUUGUUGGAGCCACUGUGUCAAUCCAUCUUAUUGAGGGUCGUCUUCUUUUUCGCUAACCCUGUUCUUUACCAAGUGUGAUGUCCUCCUCCUGAGACUGAUCCCUCCUGACAACAGGUCCAAAGUAUGUGAGAUGCAGUCUCGCCAUCCUUGCUUCCAAGGAGCAUUCUGGUUAUACUUCUUCCAAGACAGAUUUAUUUAUCAUUUUGGCAGUCCGUGGUAUAUUCAAUAUUCUUUGCCGGCAUCACAAAUCAAAGUCAUCAAUUCUUCUUCGGUCUUCCUUAUUCAUUGUCCAGUUUUCCCCAUGCAUAUGAGGCGAUUGAAAAUACCAUGGCUUAGGUGACAACUUUGCUUUUUAACACUUUAAAGAGAUUUCUUGCUCAAUGCAACACGUCUUUUGAUUUCUUGACUGCUUCUUCUGUGGGUGUUGAUUGUGGAUCCAAGUAAAAUGAAAUCCUCGACAACCUCAAUCUUUUCUCCGUUUAUCAUGAUGUUGCUUAUUGGUCCAGUUGUGAGGAUUUUUGUUUUCUUUAUGUUGAGGUGUGAUCCAUACUGAAGGCUGUGGCCUUUGAUCUUCAUCAGUUAGUGCUUCCAGUCCUCUUCACUUUCAGCAAGCAAGGUUGUGUCAUCUGCAUAACAGGUUGUUAAUGAGUCUUCCUCCAAUCCUGAUGCCCGGUUCUUCUUCCUAAUAGUCCAGCUUCUCAUAUUAUUUGCUCAGCAUACAGUAGUUAAUUUUUAUUGAUGUGGUUACACUAGAAUUCAUUUUCUGUUUUCUUAGUUACAAUUCUGUUUUAAGGGUUUGGCUAUAUUUGCAUAUCCUCAAUCAAAUGUUGAUAAAUUUUAGGAGAGGCUGGCUAAGCUUCGGGAUUAAUAAUGGAUGAUCUGGACUCAGAAUGCCUGGGUUGAAAUCUUGGUUCUGUCACUUAUUAGCUGUGUGACUUUGGGCAAGUUCAUCUGUGAGUGCCUCAGUUUCCUCAUCUGUAAAUGGGGAUGAGCAGAAGGUUCUGAAGGUAGAGUUACAUGUGAAGCCCUUAGAAUAGAAUCUGAUACAUGAAAAGUACUCAAUCAGUGCUAGCUAGGAUUGUUUUCAAUAGUUUUGUUCUCAGAGGGUAACCUUGUAUUUUUAAAGUUUAUGUCUUGACAGGUGAGGUGUGGAAGAGAUCUAAAGUAAAGGGCACCGUGGUCCUGUGUGUGAUUUUUAUGUAUAAUGCUUUUUUUUAAAUGGAAUUACCUUGUUUUCAAACUCCUUCAGUGAAAGAUUUUUCCUCGGCAAGGCCUUCUGUAGUGUUUUAAAAUCAGGUCUUCGGGCUGUAUUUCAGAACUGUGAAAUGAACCAGAUUGAAGCCUGGCCUCAAAGUACAUAUAUAUGUUCAUUAACAAUUAAAUCCUGUUCUGAACCAGGCACUGUUAGGUAUUACAAACGCACUAAUGAACUAGACAGACAAGACUUUCCUCUGACAGAGGUUGUAUUUGUGUAAUUGGGAGCGAAAUGGAUAAGAACAAACAGGGAAAUAAAUAAAUGAACACAGGUUUUCGAUGUAAGUGGUAGGAAAAAAAAACACCCCAUUGCCAUCAAGUUGAUUCUGACUCAUAGCAACCCUAUUAUACAGGGUAGAACUGCCCCACAGGGUUUCCAAAGAGCGCCUGGUGGACUGGAACUGCUGUCCUUUUGGUUAGCAGCCAUAGCUCUUAACCACUAUGCCACCAGAGUUUCCAUAGAGAAAAGAGAUUAUAUAAUAAAGAGUGACUGGGGAGAGGAGCUGGGUGGCCCAAGCAGUUUGCUAUUGUUUGCUAACCUCGAGGUUGGUGGUUUGAACCCAUCCAGAGCUCUGCUUCUGUAAAGAUUGCAAUCAAGAAAACCCUGCGGAGCAGUUCUACUCUUAACAUGUGGGGUCCCCAUGAGUCGGCAACUUGAUGGUAGCUAACAACAACAACAUGAGUAGAUUUAAAGAUCUUUAAAAGAGUAACUGGGGAGACUGGUUUAGACUGGGCAAUCAGGAGGACCUCUGAGGCAAUAACAUUUGUGCUGAAACUAGAAUGAUGAGAAGGUAGUAGCUGUGGGAAGCUCUGGGGGGCAAAGAUUCUAGGAAGAGGGGCCGGCUGUGAAAAGACUCUUGAGGUGGGAGUGAGCUUACCAGAUGAAAAAAACAGAAGGAAGAGUGGACAAGGGGAAGAGAGGUUAUAGAAGCAGGUAGGGGAUACGUGUGUAAGUCAGCAUACCAAAAACCAAACAAACCCAUUGCCAUCAAGCCAAUUCUGACUCAUAGCAACUUUACGGAACAGAGCAGAACUGCCUCAUAGGGUUUCCAAGGGGCAGCUGGUGGAUUUGAACUGCCAACCUUUUUUUUUUUUUUUUUAAUUUUCAGCAAUAUCAACUUAUUAAAUUUAAAAGAUGGACCUUUAUUCUGAUUAGAAUGUCUCCUAUUUUUUUUUCUUUUUUUAUUAUGCUUUAAGUGAACAUUUACAACUCAAGGCAGUUUCUGAUACAAAAGCUUAUACACACAUUGUUAUGUGACCCCAGUUGCUUUCCCUACAAUGUGACAGCAGAUUCCGCCUCUCCACCCUGUAUUUCCCAUGUCUAUUCAACCAGCUCCUGUCCCCCUCUGCAUUCUCAUCUCGCCUCCAGACAGGAGCUGCCCACAUAGUCUCAUGUGUCUACUUGAGCCAAGAAGCACACUCCUCGCGGGUAUCAUUUUGUGUCUUACAGUCCAGUCUAAUCUUUGUCUGAAGAGCUGUAACUGUCAACCUUUUGGUCAGCAGCCAGGUGCUUAACCACUGUACCACCAGGGCUCCGAGUCAGUGUUGUUGUCAUUGUUAGGUGCCCCAUCUUGUUCCAUGCUCACAGUUGUUGUUAUGCUUGAAUCCAUUGCUGCAGCCACUGUACUGAUCCAUCUUGAGGGUCUUCCUCUUUUCUGCUGACCCUGUACUUUACCAAGCAUGAUGCCCUUCUCCAGGACUGAUCCCUCCUGACAACGUGUCCAGAAUAUGUAAGACGUAGUCUUGCCAUCCUUGCUUCUAAGGAGCGUUCUGUUUGUACUUCUUCCAAAACAGACUUGUUCAUUCUUUUGGCAAUAUAUGGUAUCUUCAAUAUUCUUCACCAACACCACAACUCAAAGGCGUCAAUUCUUCUGUUUUCCCUAUUCAUCGUCUAGCUUUCACAUGCAUAUGAUGUGAUUGAAAAUGCCAUGGCGUGGGUCAGGGGCACCUUAGUCUUCAAGAUGACAUCUGUGUUUUUUAACAGUUUAAGAGGUCCUUUGCAGCAGGAUUGCCGAAGUCAUUGUAGACCAUGGUAAAAAAUUUGGAUUUCACACUGGAUAGUAUGAGAAACCCUUAGGUUAGGUUUUAGGGGAGGUGGGACAUCAUCAGAUUUACCUUUAGGAAUUCCUCUUUGGUGAUUGUGUGGCAGUGGGCCAAGAGUGGACUGGACAGAUCAUUUGGGAGGCUGUUGCAAUAGUGAGUUAUGAGGGUGGCUUCACUGGGUUGGAGGCAGUAGACUUGAAAAGAAGUGAACUGACUCAGACUUAUGGACUUGCUGCUGGGAUCGGGGGUGGGAGGCAAAGUGGCUUUUGCUGACAAGAUAAAAACACUUAGCUAAAUCAUGACAUUACCUACCCACAUUCAAGAUGGGGCAUAAGAUCUAAUUUCAGGAAUAAAUGAAAACUAUAACAUUCUAUAAAAUACCAGCAUACUCAUUCCCCAACUGGAGUAAUUCCAGCCAGGCCUGCUGCCUCACCUCCAGCUCUAGCUGUCCCUACAAAUGGUUUUGCACAAAGGUAUUCCGGCUUCAGAGAGUUGUGGAAUCUGCACUCUGGUUUCCUAGCCUUGUAUCCUGGUCCCUGGUGCAGAGCUGCCUCUGCCCAAAGAAGUAGACUUUUUCUGAUUCAACAAAGGGCCAUGGUAGACCACCACCAGGUCUGGGUCCCUGGUAGCUACUCACCCGUAGAUAAGUCUUUCUUUGAGGGCAUCUUUUCCACCUGAGAAAAAGUAUCCAGCAUACCCUUUGUGAACCAUUUACAAGGUAUUAACACUGAAGUAUAGAUUUUACAUUUCCUCUUUGGUCUUCUCUUUUCCUUGCUGAGUUUUCCAUAAUGAGCACCAUGGAGAUGUUUGUAUCUUUUGAAAUUCUUGUGGGAAUUUUACUCUGGUCUGUGUUUGCUAAGUCAGAGGAAAACAAAACAAAAAGAUACAUAAAAUUAGCAGCUGAUAUAUAUAUAUAUAUUAAUUUAUUUUUUAUUUGUUGUGCUUUAAGUCAAAAUUUACAAAUCAAGUCAGUCUCUCAUAUAAAACUUAUAUACACCUUGCUGUGUACUCCCAGCUUCUCUCACCCUAAUGAGACAGCACAUUCCUCCUCUCUACCCUGUAUUCCCCGUGUCCGUUCAACCAGCUCCUCUCCCCCUCUGCCUUCUCAUCUCCCCUCAGACAGGAGCUACCCACAAAGUCUCAUGUGUCUACUUGAGCCAAGAAGCUCACUCAUCACCAGUAUCAUUUUCUGUCUUAUAGUCCAUUCCAGUCCCUGUCUGAAGAGUUGGAUUCGAGAAUGGUUCCAGUUUUGGGCUAAUGGAAGGUCCGCGACCAUGACCUCCAGGGUCCCUCUAGUCUCAGUCAGACCAUUAAGUCUGGUCUUCUUAUGAGAACUUGAGGUCUGCAUCCCACUGUUCUCUUGCUCAACCAGGGAUUCUCUGUUGUGUUGCUUGUCAGGGAAGUCAUCAGUCGUAGCCAGGCGCCAUCUAAUUUUUCUGGUCUUAGGCUAAUAUAGUCUCUGGUUUAUGUGGCCUUUUCUGUCUCUUGAGCUCAUAUUUACCUUGUGUCUUUGGUGUUCUUCAUUCUUCUUUGCUCCAGGUGGGUUGAGACCAAUUGAUGCAUCUUAGAUGGACACUUGCUAGCGUUUAAGACCCCAGCAGCCCGUUGCUAAAGUGGGACAGCAGCUGAUAUUUAUUAAGCAACCUUUAUGUUCCUGGCACCCUGCUGAUUGCUUUACUGACAUUAUGUCACAAAAUCCUUGCAACAGCCCUUGGAGAUGGGAACCUGCUGUGUUGGCUGUGCACACUUUCGUAUAAAUGAAUUCUUCAGAAGACCAAAGAGCAGAGGAAGCACCUGAGCAGCUCUUUCCGUUCCGGCCACCAGGAGAAGGAGCAGUGCAGUUGACUGAGUGGUGACGGCCAUUACAACAGCCAGAAAACACUUUUUACAUCUUCAAUCCAAAAUGAAAUCCCAAAGAAAAAGUCCAAGUUUGAGUCAAUCACAACCAAAGGAGACAGAAAAAGUUUGCCACCUUCUGCUCUAGACCUAACUUCCAGCUAUGAGAGAUACAGGAGAUAGAAGAAUAAGGUAAACAACACCAUGAGGGAGACAUCAGACUCAACCACAGUCAUGUCCACCACACCUUUCACUUGAUCUCCAAACAUUUAAUGGACCAGCCAAUCCCAGGAAACUGGCAGCCCUGUGUAGCCAGCUGAGAUCCUCCAAGACAGGUAAAGGCAGCCCUUUCCUGCCAAGCAGCUGGCCAGCAUGUCUCUGCCUGAGAACCUGGACUGGAGACUCUACGGUGAGGGUCCACCCACAAGCCCCUGAAACCAUCAAUGGGUUUCAGGAAAGAGGUGGCCCAGCUGCUCCCUCAGAGAUCCUAGGGAACUGAGAAGAGACUCAUUCUUCAUCAUAGCAAGCAUGAUUUCAUUUAGACUCCAGCAGGAACUUACUGCUAAGAGAUGGGGAAGGAGCCUAAAAUUCCUUACCAGAGUCAGGAAAUGACACAGUGGUCCCCGCGGGGAGCUCCAUGGACAGGGCCCUGGGAAAGGAGAAAGUCAUGGUUCCCACCAUGGUUCCCACAGUUCCUGCACAGAGGAACGAUUGUCUAAUGGAAGAAACAUGAGAAGAGACAUGUCAUAUUCUCAGGGCUGGCAUGGGGGCUGAAUGACGCAGCAGGAGUUCAACACUUCCUGAAAGUGCUUCCUUCCUAGACUCCUCUCAGCCUGAUUGGGGAGCUGGUAUCCCUGUCCCAGCAGGAGUUCUCCUGGGCAAAGGAGAAUAUGGACUGUGAGGUUGCCUCAAAUUCCAGGCCUGUGAGGGGAUCCAGGCCAGGAGGGAUCUGACUAUUGGGACCUACAGGCCCUACCAAGUCUAGGUGAGCCUGCAUAUGCCCUCAGGGCAGGCAGGUGGGCCUGGCUGUGCAUCAAGCAGCUGUACCUCAGGCAAGGCUUUUGCCUUCUUUGGGCCUCAGCCCCAGGAAUCUCUGGGGCAUUGGUUGGGGGCGGGUAGGAAUUGAAGGCCUUCAAACAGGCAGACAGGGCAGGCUUCAGGAGUAAUGAGCUGCCUUUGGCGGUAGGUAAGCAGAGACUAGCCAAGCACUGGGCAGAGCUUCACUCACUCCGUCACUUGUUCAUUCGUUAAACUCCUAUCGAAAACCUACUUUGUGUAGGGCACACAGUGACAAACAAGUCAUCCUUGCCCUCCUGUAACUUACAUUCUAAUAGAGAAGAGAAACAUGAAUGGCAAGAAAGUAGGGGCUGGUCCACAGGGGCUUAAGCAAGAAGGGGAGUGGCUGAGGGGAGUGAGGUCAGGAGUUACUUACCAGCCCCAUCUGGACAGGCACCAAUUUUAGGGAUUAGGAUGGUCACGGGUGAGGAGUUAGCCAGAUGAAAGGUGAGGAGGUGGAGCAGACCUUGUUCCAGCAGAGGGAACCAUGUGUGGUGUACGCUAACAUCUGAAUGAUUGGAAAGAGCUGAAAGAAGUUGGUCUGGCUAGAGCCAGGGAGGGCAUAGGGAAGGGGGCUUGGCUGAGCCUAGAGACUGAGCAUGGUCUCGUGGGUCUUGAUAAGUGGCCUAAGUGGCAUAGGGAGCCACAGAAGGGUUUUAAGCAGGAGAGUGAUUCAACCUGGGUAGGAACAUCACAGAAGGUUGUGUGAGCUCUCUUUAAGGUCCCUGCACACCCUAAGACGACGUACAAUCCCUGAGGAGCCCAGGCCUUUUAGGCACCACCUCAUUAGAGCCACCUCAGGGAGGAUGAGGAAGCUCAUUUGUCAGAGGAACCUCAGAGAAGUGAUGAUGUAGAGGACCCAGGGCUGGGGGUGGCAAGGUUGUGGGGAAAGUAGAUGAGGGAAAAGGCACUUGGCUGGAUACCAGGAAGCCAAGCUGGGUCUCAGCUGUCAUGGACUCCAUGACUCGAGAAGUCUUAGUUUGUAAGGACCUCAGGGCUGGAAGGACAAUUCUCUAAUUAGGGAUGAAGGAAUCUAGGCUCCCAAAGGUUAAAUGAAUUGCUCAGGCCACAGAGCAAGUCAGUUGGCAGUGUCAGGGCCAGGGAAAAAGUAAUGACUAUUUACCAAGCACCUAACAUCUCCAAGCCCAGGACUGGGGACUAACUACAUCACGUCAUUUAAUGCAGGGUACCAUUUCAUUCUACAGGUGAGUAGCCUGAGACCCGGAAGGCAAGACUCUUGUUCAGGGUCACACAGAGAGGGUUAGAAACCAGUUCUGCAGUUCCGCAUCCCGCGGCUCCUCUGGGACUGAGACUGGGGUUGGGGGAAAAGCGGAGAGUGCCCAGGAGUGUGUGGGAGGGUGGGGCUGUGUUUCUGGGACUUUCCUCGCUGAGGUCAGCGACCUCGAAAUAGCCUUUGUGGGGUGAUCUGCUGAGCGCCCCCGAGGCCGGGUCACACCCUUUCUGCCCCUCCCACCGCGGGCACAGGCAGCCGCAGAGCGUCCCCUCCGCUGGCCUAGAACUGCUUGUGCCACGUGAACCGCUCGGUGCCCACCCUCUGCCUCGCUGGCUGGUGAACUUGCUCUCGGAUGAUGCCGACAAGCUGAAGCUGGUGCUGCAGCUGCAUGGCCCCGUGGCUGUCUACGCCGACGCCUCACGACGCUCCUUCGCCUUCCAUUCCCAGGGCUUCUGCUCUGACAGCAGCUGCAGAGAGUCUGGCCAGGGCUGCCCCGCGCUCGCCAAUCAGAAGGCGAGGCUGGCUCCGGGCACGCCUCCUUCCGUGACGUCACCCAACCGGCCCUGGAAGCCCCGCCCCGUGGCCUUGUUCGGGAAAGGCGGAGAGGGGCGUUUCUCCAGGGCUGGAAAAAAGUCGUGUGUGAGCCGCGAGGUUGAGAAAACACUGCCUCGUCAGCGCUCGCGUUAUAACAUAAGCCCUGAAAAGUACAGAGGUCAGCAGCUAGAGCAGCGGGACCGCAUUGUGUUCCUGGUGGUGUAUGCCUGCUGGAAGAUUACCCUAUUGACUCAUCAAGAACUCACUGUCGCUGCUGUGCGGCACCAGUGGCUACAUCCUCGUGUCUGCCAAAAACACCUGUGGCAUCACCACGGCCACCUACCGCAUUCUACUGCCACCUGUAGCUGGGCAGCCCUCAGCAGACAUCCUGCCUUUCACCAAGACUUCCCAUCCCCCCACCCACACCUACCUCUGGAGAGAAGCAGGCAAGUGCUAUUCACUGGCCAAACACAGGUCAUUGAGGAGACUGACAAGAAAGCUCUGAACUCCAACUGGAAGAGGGAGGGCAAGGAGGAAGGAGGGAGUCCUGGGAGCUGCUGCUACUCCUCAUCAUCCCCUUCUUCCUUCCCACUGGCAAGGGUCUUAUGGGCCACGUAGCCCAGACCGGCACCAACCUUGGCCAUGACGGCACUGCCGCCACCGGUAGCCCCUGUGAAGCAAGCACAGAAGGGUCACUGGUUUCUGGGAAUCCAAAUGUCUGGAAAUCACUGGUUGAGCCCAAAAAGGCCUUGAGGGGGAAGGCAACGGCUGCGAAGUGAAUCUUAUUUCCCGCUUACUUGCCUCUCAAAUCAGAAAUGUGUUUCAGAGAAGAAAAAGACACAACUAAUGGCUCAGUCUGUGGAGCUGUACCUCAUGUCUGCGAGGAACACACUGUGUUACUAGUAACGCUAAUGACAGCCACCUUGUGGAGACCUCACUGUGUGGGUGCUGGGAGGUUCACAAACAAGAAGUCCUUCAUCCUUGCUGCAGCCCUGGGACCUAUGAGAGGACAACCAUCUUAUAGCCAACUGGAGAGUGUUCCUAGCCCUGUCUGCUCCCUUCACCCCGUCACUGCAGGGUGUGGUCUGGCCAGGGCCUUCCCCCUGCCCCCUCUGAGAAGGCUCCAUGCUGCCCAACUGGUUCACUGGGCUUUUGCCAUCCAUAACUGAGAGAGAGAUGGAGAGUUCAGGGAGCCAGAGGGGGAGUUUGUCAGGGGUGGUUUUUCUCCAGGAUUUUAGAGGCCUCAGAAAGAGAGGGAGAGGAGAGGAAAUGAGAGAUAAGGGAAGGAGGAAGGAAAGGGGAAGGGAGGAGGGAGGGAGGAAAAGAGAAAGGGGAGGGAGGCAAAGGGGGAGAAAGAGGGAAGGAGGAAGAAGGGGGGAGGGGGAUGGGGAGGGAAGAAUGGGGGAAGGGAAAGGGGAGGUAGGAGGAAAGGGAAGGGGUGGGAGGAGGAGAAGGAGGAAGGUCAGAGGGAGGGGGAGAGACAGAAGUUUUGUAUCUUCCUUUUCCAUGGUAUUCAAGAAACUCAAGUUAAGACCAGGGGUGGUGUGAGAUUGAUUUGGGUUGUUCGAUCGUGUUUCUUUGCCACUAUGACUCUCUGAAAUCGAGCAUGCUAAAUGCUAAAGGGGGAUGAUUUUCCUGGUUUCCAGAUGAGGGAACUGAGGUUUGUGGUGGCUUGGCCAAAGCAUCAGUGGGGCACCAGGCCUCAGAGGCUAAAAGUGAAGCUUCUGGAAUCAGACUAAGUUUGAAUUCUGGCCCUGGUACUAACUAGCUGUGAGAACCUGAGUAAAUUACUUAAGCCCUCGGUGCCUCUGUUUUCCCACCUGUAUGUUGGGGAUAAUAAGAGUGCCCACCUCACAGGGCUGAAUUAGCCAGAGAAAAGGGCUCAGAAUAGUACAGAGGACCAGGUGGCCCUGGUGCCGCCGUCUAAGGGCCUGUGCCCCCACUCACCGAGGCUCUGGAGAGUGGCCACCAGGCCUCCAGCAGGCACACCGCCACCGUUCAGCACCGCAGACCAGCUCAUCAUCCAGGCGGCCAUGGAGUUGGCGGCGAUGCCGGCACUGGUGAAGCCCAGCACCGGCAACCCCGCGGCCAUGAGCCCUGGAGAGAGAGGAGGGGUGAGCGCCCCCGCAGCAGGGUCUCGCCCCACCUGCCCACUCGCGCCCCCAGACGCACCUCCUCCGACCACCAUGUAGGGCAGGGCAUCCCAGAACCCAGAGCCGCUGUCCUUUGACCUGUCAUCGGAGCUCUUGCCUGUUGGGAGAGCGGACAAAGAGGAGUGAAGUGGGGAGGAGGCCACGCACUGUGUCCCGCGCUAAGAUCACUCCCAGAGCUGGAAGCCGCCACCCUCCCGUAAAGGAGAGCGGCAUAGAAGGGGAGGGACUUUACUCCAAGCACCGUGCCUGGUAUGUAGCUGGCAUUGACAACAUUUCGGAGGAAUGGAGAAAUUGACAGAGUAGGAAUUCGAACCUGUGACGCUGGCUAUAGCAACAUUGUGCUGUCCAUUGUAACAGCUUCUCGCUUUCAGAGGCACACCAGAGAUCCUGAAACUGUGCUCAAACCUCCCUCUCCUUCUUUAUCCCACAGAGACUCCCUCCUCCUUCCUACCCACCCCACUGACACCGCCCCCCAGGGCAGAGUUCUUACCUGCCUCCACUCCUAGGCAGGUGAAGAGUAGCAGGUAGCACAGAACGAGCGAUACCGCCUUCUGCCGCAUGGUGGCGCCGCGCACUGGCUUUGUUGCAGGCCCUGGAGUGCGGGAGAAAGGGAGGGGAAGGACCACAGGCCGUCGGAUGGAGCCCAGGACCCUCUCCGGACCUUGGGUUUUCGGAUUCCUCACAGCAACAAUGGGAGUGAGGUUUCUGCCUCACGGGGUGGUUAAGAGAAUUUAAUGAAUGAAUGUUCUGGUAUGGUGCCUGCACAUGGUGAGCCUUCAUUACAGUUACCACUGUUCUUGGUUUUGUCAUUACUUGGACAGGGUACUAUAGUAAUUCCCUUCUCUUGGUCUGUUUAUUCUUCAAAUGGCGGUAUUAAUCGAGCCUCCUUCAGAGGGUGGUUGUUAUUUAGAAACUCUUCACCGUAUAUCCCUAACACUUAGAACAGGGCGUGGCACUAAAAAAAAAAAAAAAACUCAUUGCAGUCGAG